CCGAUGGCCUUCUGCCACUUAGUUAAUGUGCACCUGGCAGCUUAGGUGGCCGCGGAGAAAGCAACUUUGGCUGCACCAAGGUCCGGCACAAGUCUGGAGAAGCUUCAGCCAGUUCCAGCUUUGGUAUCAGGAUGACGCUGGCCUCAUAAAAUGAGUUAGGGAGGAUUCCCUCUCUUUCUAUUGAUUGGAAUAGUUUCAGAAGGAAUGGUACCAGCUACUCCUUGUACCUCUGGUAGAAUUCGGCUGUCAGUCUGUCUGGUCCUGGACUUUUUUUGGUUGAUGGCUGGAGUCAGCUGGCAAAUACAGAAGCAGGAAACAUUACACUGAAGCUCAGAAAAUAAUAUCCCCAAAUGAAGGCAUCAGAAAUAAAA
ensembl:lncRNA novel transcript